rnacentral:rRNA from 1 species
GACGAACGCUGGCGGCGUGCCUAAUACAUGCAAGUAGGACGCAGUUGCGAACGGGUGAGUAACGCGUAGGUAACUACCUAUUAGAGGGGGAUAACUAGUGGAAACGAUAGCUAAUACCGCAUACUAGUAGAUGGAACAGCGUUGUAUUAGCUUGUAGGUAGGGUAAUGGCCUAACUAGGCAACGAUACAUAGCCGACUUGAUAGGGUGAUCGUGCACGCUGGUACUGAGACACGGCCCAGCCUCCGAAGGGAGUAAUCCGUAGAGAAGCUUCGGCAAUUGGUGUAACCCUGACCGAGCAGCGCGGCGUGAGUGAUGAUGGUUUACGGAUCGUAUAGCUCUGUUGUUAAGGACGCGGUACUUACCCAGAAAGGGACGGCUAACUACGUGCCAGCAGCCGCGGUAAUUC